AUUCUUUUAAAUCACAAGAAAAAUAAUCAAGUAGAAAUGGCAAAAGUUUCAAUUUAUUUCUAUCUCCUUCUUAUCAUCACAUUCUCUGUCCUUAACUUGACGAUUGCCCAAGAUAAAAAGAUUAGAGAUUUGCAAUGUGCUGCUCCAAUUCCCAACAUAAGUUGCAAGUUGAAGGAAGAUUGUACGCCAAGUUGCGAGGAUAAAUAUAAAGAUAAAUUUCUUGGUGCGGGUUGUAUAUUAAGCCCAGAAGAUAUUCGUAUUUGUAUUUGUGGCUACAAAUGCAGAAAUUAAAAGUUUCUUUAUCAAAAUGUUAAGACUUUAUCAUUUGUUUGAUAGAGUUAUAGGGUUGAUGUUCUAUGGUCAAAGUGAAUAUUCCAUUACUUAAUUUACAAAUGGUGGUUAUGCUA